rnacentral:lncRNA from 13 species
AAAAAAAGUGUGAUGUAUAAACACACACACACACACACAUUUAUAUGUUAUAUAAUUCUAUUUUAUGUAAUUAUAUGGCCUCCUCCUCUGUGCUGAUAUAAAUCUCUGGAUUCAUUUCCAACGUUUGCUUUUUCUGAAAAAAACUACCUUCUGUUUCAUCUCUGGUUAAGAUUAAGCCACCUUCCCUGAUACUUGCCCAAUAUGGACUAUUCUCUUAGUAUACAACAUGUGGGGUCACGCUGCUUCCAGGAGAUGUGAAUGUGGUUCUGGAGUAUUAAACUUUCUGCUCAGCAGAUAUCAAAGGCAGUAAUUUAAGGAACAAAAUACCUACUCUCUUUUGUUGGCAUGAAUAGUUGAAGUAGGCUCAGUCACUUAAAUCCAAGUUAAUGUGCUUAGACAUCACACACAUUAUGUGUAAGCGGGGAAGUCCGGCUGGUAAUGGCCUGUGUCAACAACAAGGGGGGACAGGGAUGGGUCAGGGGAGUGACUGGGAAGACUCCUUGGAGAAGAUCUGUUGAUCAUGGAGUUUCAAACUAUGACUGAGGCAAUUCUAAAGGCCUAAAUAAAUUUCUCUGGAUUGGAAAGUAAGUGAUAGCUGGUGAUAGGGGACAUUAGUGGCCUCUUUGGAGAACUUUAGGGAAGGAGCACAAUUUAGGAAUAGAAAACAAAAAUUCAACUCUUAACUGUUCUGACCUUUGUUUCUCACCCCAGAGUUGCAAUAUGUUCCUGGCACCCAGCAGGCUUUCUGUUCUUGCAGAAUCCAGUUUUAUCCACCAACAAACGUCAUCACUUUUGCCACUGGCAGAUCAAGUCCCUUCUCAAACAUGAAGAUUGGCCAGCUGCUCUCAGCAAUCUCUUUGCCAUUUAUGCACAGAACUUACAAAACUGGUGCACAUUUGGUGAAGACACCAGUCCCUGUGCUAGGCACAUUACGUUUGUCAUCUCAAUGGACCAUCUCGGCGGCCUCAAGAGGACAUCAUUUGGAGAAGGAUUGCAUCAGAGGUUUCUGCCAUUGAGGCUUCCUUGAGGAGGAAGAUGGUCCUGCUCUAGCACGGAUCAGAGGCAGGUACCAAGUUAGUCUGCUGCAAACAUGAGGUGUAUGCAGAAGAGAAGACUCAAUACAAGUAAAGCAAUGGAAAUGUCCUCAAUGAAAGGCUUUGAAGGAACUGGGGACAUUGUGAUCAGAGAAGAACAAACUUCACAGGUUCAUCUGGGCUGCCUCCAGAGAUCUGAAGGAAAUAGAGUUGUCACAUGACCCCAGGAAGCCAAGAAGACCUAUGCAUAUGGAAUCAUGCAGCCUGG